ACAGGGCCUGCUGAGGACAAUGGACAUUGUCCAGGAAUGCAGCCUUGCAAGGGACCUGCACCAAUCACAGGGCCUGCUGAGAAUCACAGACAUCCUCUAGCAAUGCAGCCUAUCAAGAUCUUAUAUUAAGGUUAUAUAAUGUUUACCAAGUCUCAAAGAAUACCUGCUGAGAGACUUCAGAGCUGAGGUGUGGCCACUGCCACAGGUAUGCACAGAGAUUGUCCAUGCGUCUGUUCCCUGGGACACACCAAUGGCGAGGACUGCUGAGGCUCAUCCGCUCAUCUGCCAGCCACACAACCUAUCGAACUACCAGACGGAGAGCCUGUUGAGACCCCUCCUUUUUCAUUGGUGGUUGUGGUGGUGCAGAGGGACUUGUACUUGUCAAAGAGCCUGUUCAGGGUCAUGGACCUCCACCAGCCUUGCGACUAAUAGCGGUUACUUGUAACAGUCAGAGCCUGUUUAGGCUCAUGAACCCUCAUCAGCCUUGGGACCUGCUGAGGUUCAUGUAGCUGAUCUUGGCCAUCUACAACAGCACUACCAGACAGUAUUAUAAAGGGCAAUGAGCUGUAGAUGUGGCCAUCUACUGACUACCGGUUAAAAGAUUGACUUUGUCCUGUAGAUUGGUAUAGGCCCAUUUAGUAAUACAAGUGAAUUAGAAAUAGUUGGGGAUUUAACGACUUCAUGUUUUGCACUUGUGUGGUCAAGUAUUUAUAUAUGUUUUUGCAUUUUGUCAGUUUUAUUUUUUACUAUUUUGGGCAUGUUUGUUUUUUGUUUUGUCAUUGUUUUGUAUGGAACUUUCUUUUUCUUACAAUACAUUUGAUACAAUAAUUCA